rnacentral:rRNA from 1 species
GAUGAACGCUGGCGGCGUGCCUAAUACAUGCAAGUCGAGCGAACAGACGAGGAGCUUGCUCCUCUGACGUUAGCGGCGGACGGGUGAGUAACACGUGGAUAACCUACCUAUAAGACUGGGAUAACUUCGGGAAACCGGAGCUAAUACCGGAUAAUAUAUUUAACCGCAUGGUUCAAUAGUGAAAGACGGUUUUGCUGUCACUUAUAGAUGGAUCCGCGCCGCAUUAGCUAGUUGGUAAGGUAACGGCUUACCAAGGCGACGAUGCGUAGCCGACCUGAGAGGGUGAUCGGCCACACUGGAACUGAGACACGGUCCAGACUCCUACGGGAGGCAGCAGUAGGGAAUCUUCCGCAAAGGGCGAAAGCCUGACGGAGCAACGCCGCGUGAGUGAUGAAGGUCUUCGGAUCGUAAAACUCUGUUAUUAGGGAAGAACAAAUGUGUAAGUAACUAUGCACGUCUUGACGGUACCUAAUCAGAAAGCCACGGCUAACUACGUG